rnacentral:tRNA from 1 species
GCCCUCGUGGCCCAACCUUGGUGGAGGCGCCAGGUCGAGGUCCUGGUCAUCGUGCAGGUUCGAAUCCUGUCGAGGGCA